GAUGAACGCUGGCGGCGUGCCUAAUACAUGCAAGUCGAGCGAACAGACGAGGAGCUUGCUCUUCUGACGUUAGCGGCGGACGGGUGAGUAACACGUGGAUAACCUACCUAUAAGACUGGGAUAACUUCGGGAAACCGGAGCUAAUACCGGAUAAUAUAUUGAACCGCAUGGUUCAAUAGUGAAAGACGGUUUUGCUGUCACUUAUAGCUGGAUCCGCGUCGCAUUAGCUAGUUGGUAAGGUAACGGCUUACCAAGGCGACGAUGCGUAGCCGACCUGAGAGGGUGAUCGGCCACACUGGAACUGAGACACGGUCCAGACUCCUACGGGAGGCAGCAGUAGGGAAUCUUCCGCAAUGGGCGAAAGCCUGACGGAGCAACGCCGCGUGGGUGAUGAAGGUCUUCGGGUCGUAAAACUCUGUUAUUAGGGAAGAACAAAUGUGUAAGUAACUAUGCACGUCUUGACGGUACCUAAUCAGAAAGCCACGGCUAACUACGUG
rnacentral:rRNA from 1 species